CGGCGGACGGGUGAGUAAUGCCUAGGAAUCUGCCUGGUAGUGGGGGACAACGUUUCGAAAGGAACGCUAAUACCGCAUACGUCCUACGGGAGAAAGCAGGGACCUUCGGGCCUUGCGCUAUCAGAUGAGCCUAGGUCGGAUUAGCUAGUUGGUGAGGUAAUGGCUCACCAAGGCGACGAUCCGUAACUGGUCUGAGAGGAUGAUCGGUCACACUGGAACUGAGACACGGUCCAGACUCCUACGGGAGGCAGCAGAC
rnacentral:rRNA from 1 species